rnacentral:lncRNA from 1 species
AAAGAAGCGUCAUUCUUCUCUCCUUCUUUUCCUUCAACUCUCUUUAGCUAGCUUCUUUGUCGACCAUGUGGACGUGAAGAAGGAAAAUAUAAUAAUAUUCUAUAAAUCCAGGCUGUUAUCGAAAGGCACAUUGACAUUAAUCCUUGGAGUAAAGAGUUCAUUGUCCUGAUGUUGGUAUGAAAAAAAAUAUAGAUGGAUUCUACGUACAUAAAAAAACUGAAUCCCCUCUAACCUUCCUUACUACAUAAAAUCUUCCCACUAAUUAAUUUGCAACCUAGGAAUGCAUUCAUGACGUCAGAGUACUCAUAGAUUUUCACUUUGUCAUCGCGUUGUAUUAAAGGUUUCCAAAAAAAAACGAAAAAAGAAAUUAGUGUGCGUGUCUCUAUGGUUUUGCUUGAUCUCUGAAAAAACCUUGCUUGGCCGAGUUGCAUCUUAGAGAAUAAUGUUAUGUACAAUGUAGGGAUACGUACUCCAUAGAACACAGUACAUAGAGUAAAUCAGGUCGAGAAGGACUCCACCCAUCAAAUAUAGGAUUUUUGCAAAUCUUGUAAGUAUUACUGUACAUAUAAUACGUGAAAGAGUUGAAAAAAUCCUCUUUGGAAUGUUAAAUAUCAUUUGAAGAGAAGGAUACACUUAUGUCUUAUGUUCAAGUUAUAUGUCAGUACGUACUAAAUAACUAGUGCUGAGAAUUUAUCCGAUACAUAUGUUCUUCGAUUUGGUUUUAAAAAGGUUAUUUCUUGAACGAUAUUUUAGUGCAGACUUUAUACCGAAAUUUUAUCGUAUUCAAAUCGUGGGAUGGAUUUUUUUUCGGUCUCACUCUGUGCACCGAUUUUCUCCCAAGUUGCAACCAUUCAUCCGAAAAUAAACAGGUACUAGAAUGGGCACUCGGUAGAGCGCAAAUCUCCUCUUUAAAUCAUUCUCCAUAAAAAUUAACAUUCAUUACAGCUGUAUGUGUCUUUAUUAUACGUGCAAUAUGACAAUUAUGACGUCCGUCAACUAAGUUGAACGGAGGACAUGUUUUCUCCUCCAUUCGUUUGUUUGUAAAGAGGAUUGCAUAAAAUGUUAACAGUAAAGGGUCAUUAAAUUUUGAGUGGUCACAAUAAACGUUCAAAAUACACAAUUGACCAUAACUUUAAAGCCAAUUCAGGUACAAUACUUAAAUAUGUUCUAGCUAUUACCAAUGUACUUCUUAUACAACACAAUACCAAGAUCACGCAAAAGGUCAAAAAAUUUUAACAUUGCAAACAUUUGACUCAUAAAAUGGAGCUUAAAUUAUUGUUAAUUUUCAAGGGAAAUGAUGCUCUACCGAGUGCCCAUUCUAGUUUGAGUAAUGUAUCUUAAUUUGUUCCAAAGUUAUGGUAGAUUAUUCGUUUUUAAUUUUUUGUGCACCUUUGACCUUGACCUCUCAAAAUUUAAUAACCUCGUAUUGUUAACAUGUAUAAUCUUCCUAAAAAAGUUUUACAAAAAUCGGUUGAUAGUUGUUCUGUGAUCCUGUAUUUAAGCAGAUAAACAAACAAAUUGAGCGAAAACACCACGCUCAAAUUCGUUGGUGGAGGUACAAAAAAACAACUAAAAUCAGUUUGUAUUUAACAAAUUCUUUCCAAAGUAUAGAAGUAUUAUUCAAUGAUUGUGGGAAAUUGUUCACAGCUCCUUAACAAGAUCUAAUUAGAAUUUAACUAAUCAAUAUUCGGAACACUAGUAAGCAGAAAGAUGUACAUUGUAAAUUUUUAUGUGAGUGAGGUUCCAAAAUUCAUCAAUAAAAUCAGCUCAAACCGAAUUAUAAAAGAGAAUCCAUACCAAAUUUUUAGUAUGACAUAUCCCGACUGAUUUUUUCUCUUUGACACCGACAUACCAGGCCAACCGUUUUUAUUUACCCAUUUUAACACAAAGUCUUGUCCAUGGCAGGAUUCUCGGUGAAUUAGGGAACAAGUUUAUCAAGUAUUAAUUUAAACAAAAAAAAAAUGUUUUAGUCAACGCAUCCACCCUCAAAAUUCAUGGUGCUCUCCAAGCGGUGGGGGAAGCUUCAGCAGAUACUAUAGAUGUACUUGGUGCUCAUGGAGGCCCAGACCUUGUUGACGGAUGUCUUCAGGGUACGUUUGCUGUUGUGGCAUCUCCUGCGUUGAUGGCCGGCAUUUGACUAUACAUGCACAAAGAAGGAAUUGUCUUGGGUAGGGGUCGGGCAACUUUUUUUAGCGUUACAGCAAAAGAACUUGUAAAAUUAA